rnacentral:rRNA from 1 species
UUGGAGGGCAAGUCUGGUGCCCGCAGCCGCGGUAAUUCCAGCUCCAAUAGCGUAUAUUAAAGUUGUUGCAGUUAAAAAGCUCGUAGUUGAAUUUCGGGACCAAUUUGUUGGUCGUGCCUCGGUACGUACUGGUAUUAUUGGUUUCUCCCUUCUGAAGAACCUUGAUGUCAUUAAUUUGGUGUCUUGGGGAAUCAGGACUGUUACUUUGAAAAAAUUAGAGUGUUUAAAGCAGGCAUACGCUUGAAUACAUUAGCAUGGAAUAAUGAAAUAGGACGUUUGAUUCUAUUUUGUUGGUUUCUAGGAUCGACGUAAUGAUUAAUAGGGAUAGUUGGGGGCAUUAGUAUUCAAUUGUCAGAGGUGAAAUUCUUGGAUUUAUUGAAGACUAACUACUGCGAAAGCAUUUGCCAAGGAUGUUUUCAUUAAUCAAGAACGAAAGUUAGGGGAUCGAAGACGAUCAGAUACCGUCGUAGUCUUAACCAUAAACUAUGCCGACUAGGGAUCGGAUGAUGUUAUUUUUAAUGACUCAUUNGGCGCCUUACGGGAAACCAAAGUGUUUGGGUUC